AUUGAACGCUGGCGGCAGGCUUAACACAUGCAAGUCGAGCGGUAACAGAGAGAAGCUCGCUUCUCUGCUGACGAGCGGCGGACGGGUGAGUAAUGCCUAGGAAUCUGCCUAGUAGUGGGGGAUAACUUGCCGAAAGGUAAGCUAAUACCGCAUACGUCCUACGGGAGAAAGGAGGGGACCUUCGGGCCUUUCGCUAUUAGAUGAGCCUAGGUCGGAUUAGUUAGUUGGUGAGGUAAUGGCUCACCAAGACCGCGAUCCGUAACUGGUCUGAGAGGAUGAUCAGUCACACUGGAACUGAGACACGGUCCAGACUCCUACGGGAGGCAGCAGUGGGGAAUAUUGGACAAUGGGGGGAACCCUGAUCCAGCCAUGCCGCGUGUGUGAAGAAGGUCUUAGGAUUGUAAAGCACUUUAAGUUGGGAGGAAGAGCAGUUAACUAAUAUUUGACUGUUUUGACGUUACCGACAGAAUAAGCACCGGCUAACUUCGUG
rnacentral:rRNA from 1 species